AGGACCCAAUUUUUCCCAUCUCUUGCCUGAGAGGACAGACGUUCCUAAAUUAGUGCUGACCAAAGUUUUUAAAACAGUAGAAUGUUUUUUCCUAAAGAAAUUGUUUAUAGAACUUAGGGCAGAGUCCACUUCUAAUGCCAACACUAAUGAUUUAGAGGAGGGGCAGGGCUGGAUUUUGGGGGACCUGAUGGUUGACUGGAAACAGAUAAAAAUGUUAUCACUUUUCAGUUAUUCUUUUUAUAUUUCUUUCAGCCUUGCUUUCCCAGUACUUCCUCUAAUAUCUUUCAUCAUUGUCUUACUACUGUGUCUUCAUGUUAUUUUAAGAGUUGUUGCAAAGGAGGCACUUUUGCAGACUAUACUCUGGGGAAGCAAAUGCACCCCUAUCUUUCUUCAUAGGUAGGCGUCUAAUGGAAACUUCAAUAUAUAAACAGUGAAGAGCUGACCCAUUUGAAACACGGCCUGAUGGCCAGAGCUGUCCAUUUUCCCUCUUGUUUGGAGGAGAGCUGUCCACCUUUACCUGCCCCUCCCCUCUGGUCCCUGAGGCAUUGGAGCAGAAUCCUAAGGCCCUGUUCGACUCUUUAUUUUAUUUUAUUUGAGUAUAGCUGAUUUACAAUGUUGUAUUAGUUUUAGGUUUAGAGCAAAGUGAAUCAGUCAUACAAUAUAAAUAUAUCCAUUCUUUUUUCCCAUAUACGUUAUUACAAACCAUUGAGUAGAUUUUCUUGUGCUAUAUACUAGGUUGACAUUAAUCAUAUAUUUUAUACAGUAGUGUAUAUGAAUAAGUUCUUUCGUAUCUUUUUUUUUUUUUUUUUUUUUUUUUUNUUAGGGCCACACCCAAGCCUGGGAACCUCCAUAUGCCGUGGGUGCGGCUCUAGAAAAGACAAAAAAGUAAUAAUAAUAGGUAAUGAUGUUGAGCAUCUUUUCAUGUGUCUUUUGGCCAUCUCUGUGUCUUCUUUGGAGAAAUGUAUCUUUAGUGGAACACCUACAACUAGAUUCUGGUCUUUUGUAUCAUUGAGAAUCUUGGCUAUUUAUUGUGAUAAUUGUCCUAUUAGGUCUUGUUCUUAAUGCUAUUUUAUUUUAUUUUUUUGGAGCAUUGUUUCCUUUUUUCUUGCUUGCUUUCUUUUUCUCUAAUCUUUUGGAAGUCAUACAUUCUAUUUUCAUUUACUCUUGAUUACUUUGGGGUAACAAAAAUGUCGUAUAAGAUAUAAUCAUCUUUUUUUUUUUUCUUUUCCUCUACUGCAGCUGCAAAUAGAUUGGGAGAAAAUCAAAGCCAAAAUUGAAAUGGAAAUUACUAAAGAACGAGAACGAUCAUCAAGCAGCCAGCCCAGCAAGAAUUUCAGUCUAAAGCACUAAAUGCCAUGCUUACCUUUAAGUUUUACCUUUUGAAACUGAUUCUGAUUAACCAAGGAUAAGCAUGUUUUCAGUGCUAAAGAAAAAGGCAGAAUCUUGAAGUAUAAGUACUUGCUGUGUAUUUAAUACCAAAAGUAUAUUCAGAAAGACUAAGUACAGAAUAAUGAUGUAAUUUGAUGUAAUUUUAUAUUUUUAGUAUAAUAAGCAGAAAAACAUUCCUAUAUAUUUAUGAUAUAUCCAUGUGGUCUUGCUUACAUUCCAGUUUUCUGUCCAUUAUUUUAUCCCUGAAUCUUCAGCAUGAACAAAUAUUAAUGCUGAUAAUAAAACAUUGAACUCUUCAAAA
rnacentral:lncRNA from 1 species